rnacentral:rRNA from 1 species
UAAUAAAAAUUAAGGUUUCUUAAAAAGUACUGUAAAGGAAAAUUAAAAAUUUUAGGUAGAAAAAUUUACCUUUGGUAUCAGGGUCUUUUUAAAUUUUUAUUUAUAUAAAAUUCCCGAAAAAUUGUGAGCUAUUUAAUAACAAUUAUUAUUGUUAAAAAAUAUUUGAUUAUUAAAUAGAUAAUAAAUUUUAGUCAAACAAUUUUAUCUGGUUUUAAAAAAUAUUUAGGAUAAGCUAAAUUUUUUGUUAAAAAAUUUUUUUUUUAAAAAAAAUGAUCUUGAAAGAAGAUAUUUUAAAGUGAGUAAAUUCUUUUAAAUAAUUUUUUAUUUAUUUUUAACAAAUUAUAAAAUUUAACUAAAAAUUUUUAGAAAAAAUGAAAGAAUUAGUAUUUAAACAAUUUUAAAUCUAAAAAUUUGAAAAAAUAAAGGAACUCUACAAAUAUAGAUAAAGACUGUUUAACAAAAACAUUUCUUUUUGAAAAUAAAAAGUAACUUCUGCUCAAUGAUACAUAUAUUUAAUAGCCGCAGUAUUUUAACUGUGCAAAGGUAGCAAAAUAAUUAGUUAUUUAAUUGAUAACUUGCAUGAAAGAAUUUACUUUAUUGAUUUUUCUUUAUUAUUGAUAAUGAAUUUAAAAUUUUCGUAAAAAUUCGAAAAUAUUUUAAGGGACGAGAAGACCCUAUAGAAUUUUUAUUUUGCUUAAUUUUUUUUAAAAAAUUGGCAAAUUUUUAUUUGGGGCGAAUAACAAAAAAAUAAUCUUUGUUUUUUAUUAUACUAAAAAUAAGAGUUUUGAUCCUUAUGAGAACAAUGAAAAAUUACCUUAGGGAUAACAGCGUAAUAUUUUUUAGAGAGUUCAUAUCGAUAAAAAAGUUUGCGACCUCGAUGUUGAAUUAAAAGUGCUUUAAUGAGAAGAAAAAUUAAAAGCUAGUCUGUUCGACUAUUUAACUUUUACAUGAUUUGAGUUCAAACCGGUGCAAGCCAGGUUGGUUUCUAUCUUUAAAUUAUUAUAUAUUUAAUAUAGUACGAAAGGAUUUAUUAAAUUAAAAAAUUUAUUAUU